rnacentral:rRNA from 1 species
AGAGACAGCAGUAGCCGCGGUAAUACGUAGGUGGCGAGCGUUGUCCGGAAUCAUUGGGCGUAAAGGGAGCGCAGGCGGGCAUGUAAGUCUUUCUUAAAAGUUCGGGGCUCAACCCCGUGAUGGGAAAGAAACUACAUGUCUUGAGUACAGGAGAGGAAAGCGGGAUCCCCAGUGUAGCGGUGAAAUGCGUAGAUAUUGGGAGGAACACCAGUGGCGAAGGCGGCUUUCUGGACUGCAACUGACGCUGAGGCUCGAAAGCCAGGGGAGCGAACGGGAUUAGAUACCCCCGUAGUCCCUGUCUCUUAUACA